rnacentral:rRNA from 1 species
AGUGAACGCUGGCGGUAGGCCUAACACAUGCAAGUCGAACGGCAGCACAGUAAGAGCUUGCUCUUACGGGUGGCGAGUGGCGGACGGGUGAGGAAUACAUCGGAAUCUACUUUUUCGGGGGGGAUAACGUAGGGAAACUUACGAUAAUACCGCAUACGACGUACGGGUGAAAGCAGGGGAGCUUCGGACCUUGCGCGAUUGAAUGAGCCGAUGUCGGAUUAGCUAGUUGGCGGGGUAAAGGCCCACCAAGGCGACGAUCCGUAGCUGGUCUGAGAGGAUGAUCAGCCACACUGGAACUGAGACACGGUCCAGACUCCUACGGGAGGCAGCAGUGGGGAAUAUUGGACAAUGGGCGCAAGCCUGAUCCAGCCAUACCGCGUGGGUGAAGAAGGCCUUCGGGUUGUAAAGCCCUUUUGUUGGGAAAGAAAAGCAGCAGGUUAAUACCCCGCUGUUCUGACGGUACCCAAAGAAUAAGCACCGGCUAACUUCGUG